GGAGUUGUGGCUCAGAGGUAGAGUGCUUGCCUAGCCUGCAUGAGGCACUAGGUUCGAUCCUCAGCACCA
rnacentral:tRNA from 1 species